rnacentral:rRNA from 1 species
AGAGUUUGAUCCUGGCUCAGAACGAACGCUGGCGGCGUGGAUUAGGCAUGCAAGUCGAACGGAGUUUCUAGCUUUUUCGGAAACUUAGUGGCGAAAGGGUGAGUAACACGUGGGUUACCUGCCCUAGGGUGUGGGAUAACCUGUCGAAAGACGGGCUAAUACCGCAUACGUCCUGCGCUUUUCGAAGCGCAGGGGAAAGAUGGGGAUCCGUAAGGACCUAUCACCCUUGGAUGGGCCCGCGGCCUAUCAGCUAGUUGGUGAGGUAAUGGCUCACCAAGGCUAAGACGGGUAGCUGGUCUGAGAGGAUGGUCAGCCACACUGGGACUGAGAUACUGCCCAGACACCUACGGGUGGCUGCAGUCGAGAAUCUUUCGCAAUGGGGGCAACCCUGACGACGCGACGCCGCGUGGAGGAUGAAGGUCUUCGGAUUGUAAACUCCUGUCAGCUGGGAGGAAUGGGCGGUCCAUUAAUAAUGGAUCGCCGUGACAGUACCAGCAGAGGAGGCCACGGCUAACUCUGUGCCAGCAGCCGCGGUAAGACAGAGGUGGCAAGCGUUGUUCGGAUUUAUUGGGCGUAAAGGGUCCGUAGGCGGCAUGAAAAGUCGGAUGUGAAAUCCCACAGCUUAACUGUGGAACUGCAUUCGAAACUUUCAAGCUAGAGUGUGAGAGGGGCAAAGGGAAUUCCCGGUGUAAGAGUGAAAUCUGUAGAGAUCGGGAGGAACACCAGUCGCGUAGGCGCUUUGCUGGCUCACUACUGACGCUGAGGGGCGAAAGCCAGGGGAGCAAACGGGAUUAGAUACCCUGGUAGUCC